AUGGAGUUGUAUAUUGAUGGAGGAAGUCCAAAUGAAUGUAUUGAGGAAAAGAGACAAGACUUCCAAAAUAUUUGGUACAAAUCUCUUACAUAUCAAUAUCACAUUGAGUCAAUGAGUUACCAGAAUGUAAUGUUGCGCUGAUCGGAGAAGGUAAGUAGCCCACCUUCGCCCUUCCCUUACUCUUUGAUUUAUACAUGAAGUUGCACUUAUUUGAUUCUGACUAUUCUCAACAGAUUUGUUUUGUGAUUAUGUGGAUUUUUUCGUGGCUUCAAACUUUUGAUACAUAAUCUUGUCUUUUCAUAAAAGCUAUUAGUCAAAGAGUUGUACAUUAGGGACAUGGAUCCUCUCCAUUUCAAUUUCCAAGUGAAAUGGAUAAUAUUUCAUUUAAUAUAAAAUAAUGGCUCUUUUGAUCAUGUCAUAUUUUGUUGAAGAAUGAAAUGAUGAAAAUAUCCCAAGUUUUGUACUAAAUGGAUAUUAUUAAUUUAACCUGAAAUGGAAAGGAUUCUUUUCCAUACAUUAAGGGGCAAAUUCUUGAACUAUGUAAUAAUGUAUGGUUUUAUUAUGAAUAAACACAAGCCCCUUCCCUCCACCCAAAAAGUGUUGCAGUAUGUUCUUCAGGCAGCUACAAACCUCGUUGGUAUAUUCUACUUCAAUAAUUUGUUGUAUUGUAAUGUCUAAGAUCAUUUUCUUAUGGUUUAUUUUUUAGGUGUUUACAUUUAACAAGUUAGUGACUGAUGGGAACCCAUAUGACAUAUGGUUGGCUAGCAUGAAUAAAAAUCUUCACUCUAGUUCCUACAACAUGAAAAGCAGGUGGAGAAAGUAAAAUAAUUAAAUAUAAAAUCUGAAGAAGAUAUUCAUUUAUAUUGUUUGGUUAUAAAAAGCAGGUAGAGGUAGUUUAAUCAUGAGAAAGAGAGGCUUUAAUGUUAUCUUUUUGUAGCGUUUUUCUGGUUUAUAUACACAAAAGUAAUCCUGACAUCAAUUCACAUGUGGAUGGAUGUACACAUUUGGUAUGAAACCCUUAUAUUAAAAUUGGUAAGAGAUUUAUAAUUUUUUGUACAAAGAAUUCAAAAUUGAAUAGGAAAUCAACAAUUCUUAUAUGCCAUAAUGGAUUCACAAGACAUUUAAUUAUUGUACCAUUUUGAGUAUUCCUCGUAAAAAAUUAUAAAGCUGUAUAAUAAAAAAUUAUAAAAUUAGUCAUUAGAUUUUGAGAAAUGAUAUUUGUAAUCGUGAUUGUGCAAGCACCGUGCAGUCUUUUUUAAAAAAGUGAAUUAAUACGGGACUUACAUGAAAAAAGAACUAACUUUUUAAUUGUGGACCCCCCUCUUUUUCAAAGCGAUUGUGCAGCGUUUGCACAUUUCAUGGCUGUAUCAUUACUCUUAGAUUUUUACUCAACAAGUUCUAGUGUUUAUAAUUUUCACAGAUGAAAUUUACAAAGAAUAAAAUAUAAUUUUUUACGACUUUGUUAGAGCUACACCGGGCAUGCUAAGGCCAUACGGCCAUGCCUUGUCAAUAAUCCCAUUAGGUUUCUAACUUUAAAGAGAGUAAAAUAAUUAAAUACAAAAUCUGGAGAAUAUCUCCAUUUAUAUCGUUUGUUUAUAAAUGAAGGCAAGUGGAGAUAAGGAUAAAUCUGUGGUUUGAAACUUCUUUUUGGCUCUAUUUAAGGCCCCUAUGCACUUAGUAGCAGGCACAAUUCACAAAGCUAAGAAGCUCUCCACAUACAAAUUCUCUUCAUGAUUUGCCCCAUUAAAACUAAAGCAUUGUAUAGUUUUCUUUUCGACAUCUAAGCUACAAAAUGGAGGAGAAUUUAGAAGUUCUCAAAUUCUCAAACAGGAAGAGAAUGAAAUGUCAAGAUCAGCGUAUAAAUGCUUCAUGGUCACAUCGAAUCAAUGGAUUACCUGAUAAAUUUCCCAUAAUAUUUGGACCUCACGGCGGGUUUAGCAUGGGGAAUCAAGUGGUUAGAAAUGGGGAAUCAUGCGGCCUUGGUUGAUCAAGACCCAUCCUUGUUUUCAUCCAACUGGAGGAAGCGGAAAGCAUAGGAGAAUACCUUAAAGCGUUGAUUCCUCAGCCUUCCCAACAACAUCGGAAAGGUUUGGGUGAGAACAGCUAGCUGCAGGCGCAACCCAACCAUAUAAACGGAGAGGUUUAGGCUAUUUUGCAUCAAAUUUUGAUCAAUUGUAGAAAAACCAAGAAGAUUCUUAUGUUCAAUUACACACUUCAAAAGGAUGACAACUUCUUGUUGGACUGAUGAGUGGGUGAAUAGAACACCAUUGAUUUUACAUGUUAGCUAGGUAGUUUUAAUGACCAUGUGCCUGAUGAGUGAUUUACAAUAUAUUCAUUUCUAUAUCAUUGUAAUGUGUACCUUUUAUUUUUCUUAUUGAUUAUGAGGAAGUAAACAAUCUUGAACCGGA